rnacentral:rRNA from 1 species
UUAGGCUUGAUAAUGGUCAUUAUUAUUUUGUUAUAAUUAAAUUCUUUAUAAGUUUUAAUUUUUUGUUGAUUUUAAUUUUUUAUUAAAAUAAUUUUUUUAAUUUUUAUUUAUCAUGAAAUAAUGUUUUAAUUAGUAUUAUUUAUAAUUAUGUUUUAGGAAUUCGGCAAUUUUGAAUUUUACCUGUUUAAUAAAAACAUGUCUUUUUGAUAUUUAUUUAAGGUUGAGCCUGCCCAAUGAUUAAAAAUUUAAUGGCUGCAGUAUUUUAACUGUACGAAGGUAGCAUAAUCAUUUGUUCAAUAAUUGUGGACUGGAAUGAAGGGUUUAAUAAGAAUUUAUCUUUCUUAUUUAUAUAAAUAAGAAUUUAUUUUUUUAGUUAAAAAACUAAGAUUUUUUUAUGGGACG